UACGUAGGGUGCGAGCGUUGUCCGGAAUUAUUGGGCGUAAAGAGCUCGUAGGCGGUGUGUCACGUCGUUCGUGAAAACCUGCAGCUUAACUGUGGGCGUGCGGUCGAUACGGGCAUCACUGGAGUUCGGCAGGGGAGACUGGAAUUCCUGGUGUAGCGGUGAAAUGCGCAGAUGUCAGGAGGAACACCGGUGGCGAAGGCGGCAUCCUGGACCAACACUGACACUGAGGAGCGAAAGCCAGGGGAGCAAACGGG
rnacentral:rRNA from 1 species